AACGAACGCUGGCGGCAUGCCUAACACAUGCAAGUCGAACGAGACCUUCGGGUCUAGUGGCGCGCGGGUGCGUAACGCGUGGGAACCUGCCCUUAGGUUCGGAAUAACUCCCCGAAAGGGGUGCUAAUACCGGAUAAUGUCUUCGGACCAAAGAUUUAUCGCCUUUGGAUGGGCCCGCGUUGGAUUAGCUAGUUAGUAGGGUAAAAGCCUACCAAGGCGACGAUCCAUAGCUGGUCUGAGAGGAUGAUCAGCCACACUGGGACUGAGACACGGCCCAGACUCCUACGGGAGGCAGCAGUGGGGAAUAUUGGACAAUGGGCGAAAGCCUGAUCCAGCAAUGCCGCGUGAGUGAUGAAGGCCUUAGGGUUGUAAAGCUCUUUUACCCGGGAUGAUAAUGACAGUACCGGGAGAAUAAGCUCCGGCUAACUCCGUG
rnacentral:rRNA from 1 species